UUAGGACUUGAUACCGUGACUAUUUCCUGUAAGUGAAAUCUGUGCUGAUACACGGUUUGAUUUAACACACUGAUGUUGGAGUGAAGUAAACGUGUGUCCUGCUGUAAUCUGGAGAAGGAGACAUGACCUCCAACAUGAGUGUGUCUGGAAAACAGGACUUAAAGAAAGACGAGAGGUGAGUUACUUUUCCAUUCACCAGCAAUAAAUACACACCAUCUCAUGGGAACAGAUCUGUAUCUCUAAACACUCACUCAUUUUUAGUGUACCAGUUUUGAACAUCAAGAAGUUUAUUACUGAAACAAAGUGGCUCUUGUGCAGGUGAAUGAUGUGAACUUUGAGAACAUGAGUAAUGAUGAUGCUGUAAGAAUUCUGCGGGAAAUCGUCUCCAAGCCUGGGUGAGUUGUAACACUGAAUCUCCUUAUCAGUGCACUCUGACUGUACUUACACUGGCACCCUUACUGACUUCUGCUGAAUGCUUUUUCCUCAGACCCAGGAGUCAUUUUCUGCUCAAUUGCUCCACUGGGACGCAAUAAUCGAACGUUAUGUCUUUAUCUUUUAUUGCACAGGUUAAGAUGUGUUGUUAUUGUAUCUCAUAAGUUCAGUUAAGUCCCAAAUCAUGUUAAAAUGCCAAUUUAAAGACCAUUUUCUGGCCACAAUAGUGAAGGUCAUAAAGCUGCCUGAUUCACAUCGUGAGAUCAGAGACCGGAUGUGGCUUAAGAUCACAAUAGCAAAUGCUGUCCUUGGUGAGUUUGGGAACAAUGUGUGGACGGAAAUAACACCUUUUUUUUUUGGACUAGAGAUUUGGUGAGAUAAUUGAGUGAGAUCCAAAAGCACCCGGACACAAAAUUGCAGGCGAAGGAUGUUUUUACUCUCAUGCAGGCGGGGCAGGAUGCAAGUAUGUAAUGUAAGGUAGAUCCUGGGACUUUUUAGUAAUGUCCUGUUGCCCUGUGUUAGUUGAACCACAGACCAACCUCUUAUUUUCUAUUUUUGAAUCUGCAUCUGGAUUUCUACAGCUAAUCUGUGUAGCUGUCUGUUGUUACAGCUGCUAUACAGAUAUUGGAUCACACUAAUGUUUGUGAAUUUGUGGGAUUAAAUUCACAUGAAUGAACUCACCACAGUGAUAUUUACUGCUACUGAGUUUCUUUUUUCCCUUCUCCUUUCCUUUCGCAUUUAAGGGGGUUUCAUUUGCAUUGCUGGCUUGUAGUCUAAGUGUUGCACAUGAAAUAAGUUAGUCUUGUGUUUAAGCAGCUUAUUUCUUUAUAUUUAGGCAACUAGACCAACAAAGCUCAUUAGAAAAAUAUUGAGAACGGACACAAAUAGAAAUAAUUGCAGGAGUGGACAGGAUCAGUAAGAUUUCUCUGGGCGUGGUCAUCUUUAAGAAAGCUCUCUAUGCAUUUAACUUUAUCGCCACUAGGGGGAGUGGUUUGACUGUGACUUUCCUAAUUAUACUUACAAAGUUACACAGUCUGCACUGUAAAAAGCGCUCAUGGUUUCAGAUGCAUCAAUAUGAAUAAACAUGUACAUUUUGGUGUUUGUAUUUGUUAGGUGCUGAUGUGGUAGACUGGCUGUAUUGACGGGUGGAAGGCUUCAAGGACCGGUUAGAAGCCCGAAAAUACGCCAGCAGUUUGUUGAAACAUGGCUACCUGAGACGCACUGUCAAUAAGAUCACCUUCUCUGAACAGUGCUACUAUACAUUUGGAGAUCUGUGCCAAAGUACAUCUAGCUUUAGGACUUAUUUGCACUGUGACAUGGCCUCUCUGAACCUGAAUGAUGGAUCUAGCAAGACACUCUCGCCGCUCUGCCUCCAGCGGGUCCUAACCCGUGGUCUGCAGGUGGGCAGCCAUACCCAUAUCCAGGCUACCCGAACCCACCGCCCGGCUUCCCGCCUGGAUACUCGGAGCCCUGCCACAGUUUCCACAGCAGCAGUGCCGGCAUCCAGCAGAGUGAAGGACUGCAGUGGACAAGGCCUUACAGAGUGAGAAUGGACACCUGGAUUUGUUCCUCCGCUUCCUUCUGGGUCUCUCACUGGAGUCCAAUCAGACUCUCUUACGAGGCUUAAUGCCACAGACAGGAAGCAGCUCUCACAGCAAACAGGAAAUGUACGUCAAGUACAUCAAAGAUAAGAACAGGAAGAAUCCAUCUCCAGAGAAAUCCAUCAACCUGUUCCAUAGUCUGAAUGAACUGAAUGCUCAUUCUCUAGUGCAGGAAGUACAACCUUUCCUGAACAGAGGUGAUUACAGUCGUCUCAGGGGAAGCAGACUCUUUCCUGCUCAGUGGUCAGCUCUGGUGUUUGUGUUACUGAACUCAGAACAGCAACUGGAUGAGUUUGAUUUGAGGAAAUAUGACCCAUCAGAGGAAUGUCUUUUUAAAUGUAUUAAAGCAUGGUUUGUUAUUUUGAUGUAACACUGAACUGCACUGUUUGGAUUAAUACUUGGAUUAAUCGUUACUCUAAUCAUGUUUAAAUAAACACAUUUUACACUAACACAUUAUGUCUGUACUGAGGACUGAGCGAUAUGGACAAAAUCUUGUAUCACGAUAUGGAUCAUUUCACAUCUUGAAAAUGUGUUUAUAUGUAGCCAGGUGUUAAGGGAGGGACCACACACAACACUCUUAUAAUUUUGUGGGUCUUUAUUCCCCGACUAACCCGGGUGGGAGUUAGCAUUAAUUUAGUUUAAACUUGGAGUUCCCAACAGUAACAAGUGACCCCCAUACAGCACAAUCUUUGGGGCCUAUGACAGGAUAACCAUAAACAUAAACAGAAGCAAAACAACAGUAGUGGCUUUUCCUACCAGACAAGAACAACCACUGAGUCAAAAGUGCAUACACAUUUCAAAAUUACUUUACAAAAUACAUUCAAAAACAGCUUACAGUAUGAACCAACUUACUU